rnacentral:misc_RNA from 1 species
UCCGGCUUGUCGCCGGCAGUCUCUCUAGAGUCCCCACCAUUACGUGCUGGCAACUAAAGACGGGGGUUGCGCUCGUUGCGGAACUUAAUCCAACACCUCACGGCACGAGCUGACGACAGCCAUGCAACACCUGUCAGGGGCCCUUACGGACCCUACAUCUCUGUAGGUUUUCCCCUGAUGUCAAGCCCAGGUAAGGUUCUUCGCGUUGCCUCGAAUUAAGCCACAUGCUCCGCCGCUUGUGCGGGUCCCCGUCAAUUCCUUUGAGUUUUAGCCUUGCGGCCGUACUCCCCAGGCGGGGUGCUUAAUGCGUUAGCUGCGGCACGGAUCCCGUCGAUAGGGACCCACACCUAGCACCCAUCGUUUACGGCGUGGACUAC